rnacentral:rRNA from 1 species
CUACGGGAGGCAGCAGUCGAGAAUCUUCGGCAAUGGGCGCAAGCCUGACCGAGCGACGCUACGUGCGGGAUGAAGGCCCUUGGGUUGUAAACCGCUGUCAGAGGGGAUGAAAGCGCAAGCUUGACAGAGCCUCAGAGGAAGCGCGGGCUAAGUUCGUGCCAGCAGCCGCGGUAAUACGAACUGCGCAAACGUUAUUCGGAAUCACUGGGCUUACAGGGUGCGUAGGCGGCCAUUCAGGUCCGAUGUGAAAUCCCACAGCUCAACUGUGGAACGGCAUUGGAAACCGAUUGGCUUGAGUGAGCUAGAGGUGCACGGAACUUCCGGUGGAGCGGUGAAAUGUGUUGAGAUCGGAAGGAACACCAGAGGCGAAAGCGGUGCACUGGAGCUUGUCUGACGCUGAGGCACGAAAGCCAGGGGAGCGAACGGGAUUAGAUACCCUGGUAGUCC